rnacentral:ncRNA from 1 species
AAAGGUUUGGUCCUGACCUUAAAAUCAACUGAUACUUAACUUACACAUGCAAGUUUCCGCACCCCCGUGAGAACGCCCUAAAAUCCCUUCUGGGUUAAGGAGCCGGUAUCAGGCGCACUCUAUAGCCCAAGACACCUAGCUAUGCCACUUCCUCAAGGAAUUUCAGCAGUGAUUAAAAUUGUAUAUAAGCGACAGCUAGAUUCAGUUAAAGUAUAACAGAGCCGGCAAAACUGGUGCCAGCCGCCGCGGUUACACCAAAUGGCCCAAGUUGAUUUAACUCGGCGUAAAGCGUGAUUAAAGACCCCACAAAUUAAAAUUAAACCUCCACUAAGCUGUGACACGCUUGUGUAAGGGAAAAUCAUAAACGAAAGUUAUUUUAAUUUAAACGACUUGAAACCACGACAGUUAAGGUCAAACUGGGAUUAGAUACCCCACUAUGCUUAACCGUAAACUUUUAUUUACAUCCUUAACGCCAGGGAACUACAAGCAAAGCUUAAAACCCAAAGGACUUGACGGUACCCCAUAUCCCCCUAGAGGAGCCUGUCCUAUAAUCGAUAACCCCCGUUUAACCUCACCAUUUUUAGCAUAACAGCCUGUAUACCUCCGUCGUCAGCUUACCACGUGAGCGAAAUCUAGUAAGCCUAAUGUCCUCUUACGUCAAUACGUCAGGUCAAGGUGCAGCAAACAAAAUGGAAAGAGAUGGGCUACACUUUCUAUUUUAGAAAAUACGAAAGACUAUCUAUGAAACCUAGUCAGAAGGCGGAUUUAGCAGUAAAAAUGAACUAGAGAGUCCUUUUUAAUUUGGCACUGGGGUGUGUACACACCGCCCGUCACCCUCUUCAAAGCUAUAGAUUAGUAUCUAACAAAUUAAUGCAUUAAAGAAGAGGUAAGUCGUAACAUGGUAAGUAUACCGGAAGGUGUGCUUGGAAA